GAUGAACGCUGGCGGCGUGCCUAAUACAUGCAAGUCGAGCGAACAGACGAGGAGCUUGCUCCUCUGACGUUAGCGGCGGACGGGUGAGUAACACGUGGAUAACCUACCUAUAAGACUGGGAUAACUUCGGGAAACCGGAGCUAAUACCGGAUAAUAUAUUGAACCGCAUGGUUCAAUAGUGAAAGACGGUUUUGCUGUCACUUAUAGAUGGAUCCGCGCCGCAUUAGCUAGUUGGUAAGGUAACGGCUUACCAAGGCGACGAUGCGUAGCCGACCUGAGAGGGUGAUCGGCCACACUGGAACUGAGACACGGUCCAGACUCCUACGGGAGGCAGCAGUAGGGAAUCUUCCGCAAUGGGCGAAAGCCUGACGGAGCAACGCCGCGUGAGUGAUGAAGGUCUUCGGAUCGGAAAACUCUGUUAUUAGGGAAGAACAAAUGUGUAAGUAACUAUGCACGUCUUGACGGUACCUAAUCAGAAAGCCACGGCUAACUACG
rnacentral:rRNA from 1 species